AUUGAACGCUGGCGGCAGGCUUAACACAUGCAAGUCGAGCGAGCGGCGGACGGGUGAGUAAUGUCUGGGAAACUGCCUGAUGGAGGGGGAUAACUACUGGAAACGGUAACUAAUACCGAAUACAAUCAGAUGUGCCACGAUGGGAUUAGCUAGUAGGUGGGGUAAUGGGUCACCUAGGCGACGAUCCCUAGCUGGUCUGAGAGGAUGAAGAGCCCCACUGGAACGAAGACACGUUCCAGACGCCUACGGGAGGCAGCCGUGGGUAAUAUUGCACAAUGGGCGCAAGCCUGAUGCAGCCAUGCCGCGUGUAUGAAGGAGGCCUUCGGGUUGUAAAGUACUUUCAGCUGUGAGGCGUUACCCGCAGAAGAAGCACCGGCUAACUCCGUGCCAGCCGCCGCGGUAAUUC
rnacentral:rRNA from 1 species